rnacentral:tRNA from 22 species
GGGCCUGUAGCUCAGUUGGUUAGAGCGCACCCCUGAUAAGGGUGAGGUCGGUGGUUCGAAUCCACCCAGGCCCACCA